UUUCCGUAGGUGAACCUGCGGAAGGAACAUUACAAAAAAGUCUUUUUGCUUUAUUGCAAAAAGUCUUUUUAAAUAAAAAGAUCACACCUUGCUUAAUCGUUUCAUGUCUCUGGUAGUUUAAAUGUUAAGCUGGCCACCAGUGCCCAGUUUAGUAUGUCCUAUGAACACUCGUUAAGAGAAUUUUAUAGGGGGCUACCGCAGGGGAAACCCGGAUCUUUAUUAAAUCCUUAAGUCUGUUUAAAUUGACUGAAGUUUAUUUAUCUCUUGAUAAUUAAUAACAACUUUUGGCAACGGAUCUCUUGGCUCUC
rnacentral:misc_RNA from 1 species